rnacentral:rRNA from 1 species
GAGAAAGCAGGGGACCUUCGGGCCUUGCGCUAUCAGAUGAGCCUAGGUCGGAUUAGCUAGUUGGUGAGGUAAUGGCUCACCAAGGCGACGAUCCGUAACUGGUCUGAGAGGAUGAUCAGUCACACUGGAACUGAGACACGGUCCAGACUCCUACGGGAGGCAGCAGUGGGGAAUAUUGGACAAUGGGCGAAAGCCUGAUCCAGCCAUGCCGCGUGUGUGAAGAAGGUCUUCGGAUUGUAAAGCACUUUAAGUUGGGAGGAAGGGCAGUUACCUAAUACGUGAUUGUUUUGACGUUACCGACAGAAUAAGCACCGGCUAACUCUGUGCCA